rnacentral:rRNA from 1 species
GAACGCUUCUUUCCUCCCGAGUGCUUGCACUCAACUGGAAAGAGGAGUGGCGGACGGGUGAGUAACACGUGGGUAACCUACCCAUCAGAGGGGGAUAACACUUGGAAACAGGUGCUAAUACCGCAUAACAGUUUAUGCCGCAUGGCAUAAGAGUGAAAGGCGCUUUCGGGUGUCGCUGAUGGAUGGACCCGCGGUGCAUUAGCCAGUUGGUGAGGUAACGGCUCACCAAGGCCACGAUGCAUAGCCGACCUGAGAGGGUGAUCGGCCACACUGGGACUGAGACACGGCCCAGACUCCUACGGGAGGCAGCAGUAGGGAAUCUUCGGCAAUGGACGAAAGCCUGACCGAGCAACGCCGCGUGAGUGAAGAAGGUUUUCGGAUCGUAAAACUCUGUUGUUAGAGAAGAACAAGGACGUUAGUAACUGAACGUCCCCUGACGGUAUCUAACCAGAAAGCCACGGCUAACUACGUGCCAGCAGCCGCGGUAAUACGUAGGUGGCAAGCGUUGUCCGGAUUUAUUGGGCGUAAAGCGAGCGCAGGCGGUUUCUUAAGUCUGAUGUGAAAGCCCCCGGCUCAACCGGGGAGGGUCAUUGGAAACUGGGAGACUUGAGUGCAGAAGAGGAGAGUGGAAUUCCAUGUGUAGCGGUGAAAUGCGUAGAUAUAUGGAGGAACACCAGUGGCGA